rnacentral:rRNA from 1 species
CGGGUACUUAGUGGCGCACGGGUGCGUAACGCGUGGGAAUCUGCCCCUUGGUUCGGAAUAACAGUUGGAAACGACUGCCAAUACCGGAUGACGACGUAAGUCCAAAGAUUUAUCGCCGAGGGAUGAGCCCGCGUAGGAUUAGGUAGUUGGUGUGGUAAAGGCGCACCAAGCCGACGAUCCUUAGCUGGUCUGAGAGGAUGAUCAGCCACACUGGGACUGAGACACGGCCCAGACUCCUACGGGAGGCAGCAGUGGGGAAUAUUGGACAAUGGGCGAAAGCCUGAUCCAGCAAUGCCGCGUGAGUGAUGAAGGCCUUAGGGUUGUAAAGCUCUUUUACCCGGGAUGAUAAUGACAGUACCGGGAGAAUAAGCUCCGGCUAACUCCGUGCCAGCAGCCGCGGUAAUACGGAGGGAGCUAGCGUUAUUCGGAAUUACUGGGCGUAAAGCGCACGUAGGCGGCUUUGUAAGUAAGAGGUGAAAGCCCAGAGCUCAACUCUGGAAUUGCCUUUUAGACUGCAUCGCUUGAAUCAUGGAGAGGUCAGUGGAAUUCCGAGUGUAGAGGUGAAAUUCGUAGAUAUUCGGAAGA